UGCAAGUCGAACGCUUUGUCUUUAAUUGAUCUGACGAGCUUGCUCUGAUGUGAUUUUAUCUGACAAAGAGUGGCGAACGGGUGAGUAACACGUGGGUAACCUACCUCUUAGCAGGGGAUAACAUUUGGAAACAAGUGCUAAUACCGUAUAAUACCAACAACCGCAUGGUUGUUGGUUGAAAGAUGGUUCUGCUAUCACUAAGAGAUGGACCCGCGGUGCAUUAGCUAGUUGGUAAGGUAACGGCUUACCAAGGCAAUGAUGCAUAGCCGAGUUGAGAGACUGAUCGGCCACAAUGGGACUGAGACACGGCCCAUACUCCUACGGGAGGCAGCAGUAGGGAAUCUUCCACAAUGGGCGCAAGCCUGAUGGAGCAACGCCGCGUGUGUGAUGAAGGGUUUCGGCUCGUAAAACACUGUUAUAAGAGAAGAACGGCACUGAGAGUAACUGUUCAGUGUGUGACGGUAUCUUACCAGAAAGGAACGGCUAAAUACGUGCCAGCAGCCGCGGUAAUACGUAUGUUCCAAGCGUUAUCCGGAUUUAUUGGGCGUAAAGCGAGCGCAGACGGUUAUUUAAGUCUGAAGUGAAAGCCCUCAGCUCAACUGAGGAAUGGCUUUGGAAACUGGAUGACUUGAGUGCAGUAGAGGAAAGUGGAACUCCAUGUGUAGCGGUGAAAUGCGUAGAUAUAUGGAAGAACACCAGUGGCGAAGGCGGCU
rnacentral:rRNA from 1 species